rnacentral:hammerhead_ribozyme from 1 species
AUUCAGCUGACGAGUCCCAAAUAGAACGAAAUGCGCGUCCUGGAU